GUUUCUGAUAACUGUAAGUAUUAUAGUUUAUAUAUAUAAUUAGUCAUACCUACCAGUAAAUUGUACAUCAUGGUCAAGUUAAGACUCUAUAAAUGUGUCUUAACCAUUAAACAAUUUAACUUUUAAAAAAUCAACGUCGAAUUCGUAAAAGAAUUAUGGUGUUAUAACUACAACAUGUGUCGUUCUUAAGACAUCAUAUGUACUCAUACGACACAGGAUGUCCUUAUUUUAUCUUAAAAUGUCGUUUAAGAACAUACGUACCACAAACAAAAAGAGCCGCUGUCCUUUGUUAGUCUUGUAUUAUUUUGUAUUAUUUUGGUAAAUUUUAGUUUCUUGUGUAUAAGUUGGAGUUUAGUAUGGCGUUCAUUAUCACUGACCUAGUGCAUGUGUUUGUUUCGGGGCCAGCUGAAGAACGCCACCGGUUGCGGGAAUUUCCCGCUGCAUUGACGACCUAUUGGUGACCAUCUUCGUUUGUCCGUUCUAUGGUCGGGUUGUUGUCUCAUUGACACAUUCCCCAUUUCCAUUCUCAAUUUUAUAAGCAUUAUCAGUUCAUAUAAAACUAAAGACAUAUUAUGUCAUAAUAAUUGAAACGUAUGUUAUGUAGAUUCCAUUAAAAAGACUACAUCUAAACUUUCACUUUAAUAGCCAGGUCUAUGAUUCUAAGUUUAGAAUACGAUAGCUAUGCUUGAUCCAUAUUUCCACAAAAAACUACGCGUAUUCAACGGAAAUUUGAUAAAAGCAGUGUCAAAUUUAGAUAUAAACAAACGACUAUAGAUGCAUGUAUUAUAGAUUAAAUAAUAUUCAAUUUUUAUACAUUUGUAUCUUAAUUCUUAUAAAUUUACUUAUAGUGUUAUGGUCUGUUGAAAGACUACCGAUAAUCAUUGGAGGAAAUGUUACAUUGUUCUGCAAUACAACAUCUGUCAAUGAUACCAAAGUUACGUGGAUGAAAGAAUCGGACGUCAUUGUUCACCAUGGUUUUGUAUUUUAUUCUUCGAAAUACUCAGAAUAUUCUACUCUAAAUGGUUCCUUCCUGACCAUAAUACAUACAGAUAUUAACGAUAUCAACGUUUCGUAUACCUGUAUCUCAGAUGUGUUUUCCUACAACGCUAAAUUGAAAUUAAAACAGGCAAAUUAUAUAG
rnacentral:lncRNA from 1 species